rnacentral:rRNA from 1 species
GACGAACGCUGGCGGCGUGCUUAACACAUGCAAGUCGAACGGUGAAGCGCCUUCCUUUUUGGUGGGUGUGGAUGAGUGGCGAACGGGUGAGUAACACGUGAGUAACCUGCCCCCUUCUUCUGGAUAACCGCAUGAAAGUGUGGCUAAUACGGGAUAUUCUGGGUCUGUCGCAUGAUGGGUCUGGGAAAGAUAUUGUUUCGGUGGGGGAUGGGCUCGCGGCCUAUCAGCUUGUUGGUGGGGUGAUGGCCUACCAAGGCGGUGACGGGUAGCCGGCCUGAGAGGGUGGACGGUCACACUGGGAAUGAGACACGGCCCAGACUCCUACGGGAGGCAGCAGUGGGGAAUAUUGCGCAAUGGGCGCAAGCCUGAUGCAGCGACGCCGCGUGAGGGAUGGAGGCCUUCGGGUUGUGAACCUCUUUCGCCAGUGAAGCAGGCCUGCCUCGUUUGUGGGUGGGUUGACGGUAGCUGGAUAAGAAGCGCCGGCUAACUACGU